GUAGGUGGCAAGCGUUGUCCGGAAUUAUUGGGCGUAAAGCGCGCGCAGGCGGUCCUUUAAGUCUGAUGUGAAAGCCCACGGCUCAACCGUGGAGGGUCAUUGGAAACUGGGGGACUUGAGUACAGAAGAGGAAAGCGGAAUUCCACGUGUAGCGGUGAAAUGCGUAGAGAUGUGGAGGAACACCAGUGGCGAAGGCGGCUUUCUGGUCUGUAACUGACGCUGAGGCGCGAAAGCGUGGGGAGCAAACAGGGAUCAGAUACCCUGGUAGUCCACGCCGUAAACGAUGAGUGCUAAGUGUUAGGGGGUUUCCGCCCCCCUUAGUGCUGCAGCUAACGCAUUAAGCACUCCGCCUGGGAGUACGGCCGCAAGGCUG
rnacentral:rRNA from 1 species